rnacentral:rRNA from 1 species
AUGUUCAGAUAGCCAUGCAUGUCUCAGUAUAAGCUUCUAUUUUGUGAACUGCAAAUGGCUCAUUAAAACAGUCACAAUGCAUUUGACGAUCACUUCUAACUGGAUAUCUGUGGAAAUUCCAUAAUUAAUACCUGCCCUGAAACUUAUCUUUGGGGAAAGGUUGUGGUCUUUAGUUACAAAACCCAUUCCAGCUAUGCUUGGACCCUUGAAUGAUUCACGAUGACUAAUGAAUUACAUGGCAACACCUGGUGAAAAUAUCUUCCAGUUUCUGAACUAUCCACUUUCCACCGGAAGGUAUUGUCUUACCGUGGCCAUGAACGGUGACGGAAGAAUAAGGUUUGAAUCCCGAAACGGACCUCGAAAAAUCGCUACCACAUCUAAAGGAAGGAACCAGGGCGCAAAUUUACCAAUCCUGGACCAAGGAGGUAAUGAACAGAAAAAAAAUACAAGGGAAUCCUGUCCUGGACUUGGAAUGAAUGAAUUUUAACCUUUCUGUUGAU